GGGUGUGAUCAUAUCGGCAUUAAUGCAUCGAAUCCCAUUAGAACUUUGCAGAUAAGGUGCAUGGGCGAGAGUAGUACUAAUAAUGGGUGACCUCCUAGGAAGUCCUCGUGUGGCACUCC
rnacentral:rRNA from 1 species